AUUUAUCGGUGCAGGAUGGGCCCGCGGCCUAUCAGCUUGUUGGUGGGGUAAUGGCCUACCAAGGCGACGACGGGUAGCCGACCUGAGAGGGUGACCGGCCACACUGGGACUGAGACACGGCCCAGACUCCUACGGGAGGCAGCAGUGGGGAAUAUUGCACAAUGGGCGAAAGCCUGAUGCAGCGACGCCGCGUGAGGGAUGACGGCCUUCGGGUUGUAAACCUCUUUCAGCAGGGACGAAGCGCAAGUGACGGUACCUGCAGAAGAAGCACCGGCUAACUACG
rnacentral:rRNA from 3 species